GACGAACGCUGGCGGCGUGCCUAAUACAUGCAAGUAGAACGCUGAAGGAGGAGCUUGCUUCUCCGGAUGAGUUGCGAACGGGUGAGUAACGCGUAGGUAACCUGCCUGGUAGCGGGGGAUAACUAUUGGAAACGAUAGCUAAUACCGCAUAACAGUAGAUGUUGCAUGACAUUUGCUUAAAAGGUGCAAUUGCAUCACUACCAGAUGGACCUGCGUUGUAUUAGCUAGUUGGUGAGGUAACGGCUCACCAAGGCGACGAUACAUAGCCGACCUGAGGGGGUGAUCGGCCACACUGGGACUGAGACACGGCCCAGACUCCUACGGGAGGCAGCAGUAGGGAAUCUUCGGCAAUGGACGGAAGUCUGACCGAGCAACGCCGCGUGAGUGAAGAAGGUUUUCGGAUCGUAAAGCUCUGUUGUAAGAGAAGAACGAGUGUGAGAGUGGAAAGUUCACACUGUGACGGUAUCUUACCAGAAAGGGACGGCUAACUACGUG
rnacentral:rRNA from 1 species